UGAGAUUUAAGUUAAAAAAACUAAUUGCCUUCAAAGCAAAAAUUAAGAGCCAAGCCUUAAUCUUAA
rnacentral:tRNA from 1 species